rnacentral:rRNA from 1 species
AACGAACGCUGGCGGCACGCUUAACACAUGCAAGUCGAACGCUAUAUUAUCUUCGGAUAAUGGAGAGUGGCGGACGGGUGAGUAACGCGUAGGAACCUGCCCAAAGGUACGGAAUAACUCAGGGAAACUUGAGCUAAUACCGUAUAUUCCCUACGGGGGAAAGAUUUAUCGCCUUUGGAUGGGCCUGCGUUGGAUUAGCUAGUUGGUAAGGUAACGGCUUACCAAGGCGACGAUCCAUAGCUGGUCUGAGAGGAUGAUCAGCCACACUGGGACUGAGACACGGCCCAGACUCCUACGGGAGGCAGCAGUGGGGAAUAUUGGACAAUGGGCGAAAGCCUGAUCCAGCGAUGCCGCGUGAGUGAAGAAGGCCUUAGGGUUGUAAAACUCUUUCACCAGGGAAGAUAAUGACGGUACCUGGAGAAGAAGCCCCGCUAACU